rnacentral:ncRNA from 1 species
ACAAAGCUGCCACCGGGUAGCAUAUGAGGAUAAUCAUUCCGUUAGGUCUUUGAAGGAAUGGUUCUCCUCUUUUUUGUGUU